UGCAAGUCGAACGGCAGCACGGUUGCUUGCACCUGGUGGCGAGUGGCGAACGGGUGAGUAAUACAUCGGAACAUGUCCUGUAGUGGGGGAUAGCCCGGCGAAAGCCGGAUUAAUACCGCAUACGAUCUACGGAUGAAAGCGGGGGACCUUCGGGCCUCGCGCUAUAGGGUUGGCCGAUGGCUGAUUAGCUAGUUGGUGGGGUAAAGGCCUACCAAGGCGACGAUCAGUAGCUGGUCUGAGAGGACGACCAGCCACACUGGGACUGAGACACGGCCCAGACUCCUACGGGAGGCAGCAGUGGGGAAUUUUGGACAAUGGGCGAAAGCCUGAUCCAGCAAUGCCGCGUGUGUGAAGAAGGCCUUCGGGUUGUAAAGCACUUUUGUCCGGAAAGAAAUCCUUGGUUCUAAUAUAGCCGGGGGAUGACGGUACCGGAAGAAUAAGCACCGGCUAACUACGUGCCAGCAGCCGCGGUAAUACGUAGGGUGCGAGCGUUAAUCGGAAUUACUGGGCGUAAAGCGUGCGCAGGCGGUUUGCUAAGACCGAUGUGAAAUCCCCGGGCUCAACCUGGGAACUGCAUUGGUGACUGGCAGGCUAGAGUAUGGCAGAGGGGGGUAGAAUUCCACGUGUAGCAGUGAAAUGCGUAGAGAUGUGGAGGAAUACCGAUGGCGAA
rnacentral:rRNA from 1 species